AGUGAACGCUGGCGGUAGGCCUAACACAUGCAAGUCGAACGGCAGCACAGUAAGAGCUUGCUCUUACGGGUGGCGAGUGGCGGACGGGUGAGGAAUACAUCGGAAUCUACUUUUUCGUGGGGGAUAACGUAGGGAAACUUACGCUAAUACCGCAUACGACCUACGGGUGAAAGCAUGGGAUCUUCGGACCUUGCGCGAUUGAAUGAGCCGAUGUCGGAUUAGCUAGUUGGCGGGGUAAAGGCCCACCAAGUCGACGAUCCGUAGCUGGUCUGAGAGGAUGAUCAGCCACACGGGAACUGGGACACGGACAAGACUACUACGGGAGGCAGCAGUGGGGAAUAUUGGACAAUGGGCGCAAGCCUGAUCCAGCCAUACCGCGUGGGUGAAGAAGGCCUUCGGGUUGUAAAGCCCUUUUGUUGGGAAAGAAAAGCAGCAGGUUAAUACCCCGCUGUUCUGACGGUACCCAAAGAAUAAGCACCGGCUAACUUCGUG
rnacentral:rRNA from 1 species